GAUGAACGCUGGCGGCGUGCCUAAUACAUGCAAGUCGAGCGAACAGACGAGGAGCUUGCUCCUCUGACGUUAGCGGCGGACGGGUGAGUAACACGUGGAUAACCUACCUAUAAGACUGGGAUAACUUCGGGAAACCGGAGCUAAUACCGGAUAAUAUAUUGAACCGCAUGGUUCAAUAGUGAAAGACGGUUUUGCUGUCACUUAUAGAUGGAUCCGCGCCGCAUUAGCUAGUUGGUAAGGUAACGGCUUACCAAGGCAACGAUGCGUAGCCGACCUGAGAGGGUGAUCGGCCACACUGGAACGGAGACACGGUCCAGACUCCUAGGGGAGGCAGCAGUAGGGAAUCUUCCGAAAAGGGCGAAAGCUUGACGGAGCAACGCCGCGGGAGUGAUGAAGGUCUUCGGAUCGUAAAACUCUGUUAUUAGGGAAGAACAAAUGUGUAAGUAACUAUGCACGUCUUGACGGUACCUAAUCAGAAAGCCACGGCUAACUACGU
rnacentral:rRNA from 1 species